CUGUAGAAGCUUUGUUCUUUUGCUCUUUGCAAUAGAUCUUGCCCCUGCUCACUCUUUGGGUCCACACUGCCUUUAUGAGCUGCAACACUCACCACGAAGGUCUGCAGCUUCACUCCUGAAGCCAGCGAGACCACGAACCCAUCGGGAGGAACAAGCAACUCCAGACGCGCCGCCUUAAGAGCUGUAACACUCACCGCGAAGGUCCGCAGCUUCGCUCCUGAGCCAGCUAGACCACGAACCCACCAGAAGGAAGAAACUCCGAACACAUCCCAACAUCAGAAGAAACAAACUCCAAACACAUCCGAACUUCAGAAGGAACAAACUCCAGACGCGCCACCUUAAGAGCUGUAACACCGCGAGGGUCCGCGGCUUUAUUCUUGAAGUCAGUGAGACCAAGAACCCACCAAUUCCGGACACAAUACUUUUCACACUGCGUGAUGAAGAAAUUUAGCUUUAUUGUUAGGCAUUGUGGCUCUGAAGACCUGGAAGCACUGCUAACUGUUCUCUCGAUUUUCUGACGCUCGGCCACAUCAACCUGUCAUGCUAGUUGUGAGGAGAAGUCAAGGACAGUGACACAGCCAGCCAGUCUGAGGCAUUUUCCAUCAUCCUGAAGGAGUUGCCCUAUCCUGCUUUUCACUGGAGGGGGCAUGGAUGGAUCUGGAAUGUAUAAUUGGAGUAGACAUUCUCAGCAGCUGGCGGAAACCCCACAUUGGUUCCAUGACAUGUGGAAUGAAGGCUAGGAUGGUAGGAAAAGAUAAGUGGAAGCUGCUAAAACUGCAUUUACCUUGAAAAAUAUUAAACACAAAGAAACACUACAUUCCUGGAAAGACUGCACCAUCAAGGACUUGAAAGACUCAGGGAUGGGGUGAUUCUUAUUAUGUUCUCACUCAACUUGCCUGUGCGGGAGUCAGAUGAAUCUUGGAGAAUGGCAGUGGAUUAUUAUAAGCUUAACCAGGUGAUGACUCCAAUUGCAGCUGCUGUACUGGAUGUGGUUUCAUUGCUCGAGCAAGUUAAUACAUCCCCUGGUACCUAGUAUGCAGCUAUUGAUCUAGCAAAUGCCUUUUUCUCCAUACCUCUCAAUAAGAACAACCAGAAUCAGUUUGCUUUUAGCUAGUAAGGUCAGCAAUAUAGCUUCACUGUGCUGCAUCAGGGGUAUGUUAAUUCUCUACCACUAUGUCAUAAUUUAGUUUGCAGGAAUCUUUAUCACCUUUCCCUUCCAAAAGAUAUCACACUAGUCUAUUACACUGGUGACAUGAUGCUGAUUGGACGUAGUGAGCAAGAAGUAGCAACUACUCUAUAGUUAUUGGUAAGACAUUUGCAUGUCAGAGAGUGAAUUUUCAAGAAAAUUCAGUGAAAUUUCUAGGGGUCAGUAUGUGGAGCAUGUGAGAUAUUACUUCUAAGGUAAAGGAUAACUUGAUGUAUUUGCCUCACCUUCAACCAUAAAAGAGGAACAAUGCCUAGUGGGCCUCUUUGGAUUCUGGAGGCAACAUACUCCUUAUUUGAGUGUGUUACUCUAGUCCAUUUACUGAGUAAACUGCUUUUUGCUAGUUUUCAGUGAGGCCCAGAACAAGAAGAGACUCUGCAACACGUCUAGGCUGCUGUGCAAGCUGCUCUGUCACUUGGGCCUUAUGAUCCAGUAGAUCCAAUGGUGCUUGAAGUGUCAGUGGUAGACAGGGAUGCUGUCUGGAGCCUUUGAUGGGCCCCUAUUGGUGAAUCACAGUGUGGAUCCUUAGGAUUUUGGAACAAAGCCCUGAUAUUUUCUGUGGAUAACUACUCUCCUUUUGAGAAACAGUUCUUAGUUUGCUACUGGGCCUUAGUAGAGACUUAAUACUUAACUAUGCACUACUAAGUUACUAUUUGACCUGAGCUUCCUACCGUGAACUGAGUGUUGUCUUACCCGUAAAGCCAUGAAGUUGGGCAUGCACAGCAGCACUCCAUCAUCAAAUGGAAGUGCUUUGUGUGAGAUUAGGUCAAAUCAGGCCCUUGGCACAAGUAAGUUACAUGAAAAGAAGGGGCCUAAUUGUCAUGGCACCCACUCCUAUUACAGGACCUUCUCUCUCCCGCCUGCUUCUGUGGCCUCACAGGGGAGCUCCUUGUGAUCAGUUGAUAGAGGAAAAAAGACUCAGGCCUGAUUUACAGAAGAUUCUGCAUGAUAUACAGCUACCACCUGAAAGUGGGCAGCUGCAGCACUGCAGACCUUCUCUGAAACAUUCCUCAAGGACAAUGGUGAAGAAAAAUCCUUCCAGUAGGCAGAACUUCAAGCAGUGCACCUGAUUGUUCACUUUGCUUGGGAGAAAAGGUAGGACAUGUGACUGUACACUGAUUCAUAGACUGUGGGCAAUGGUUUGGUAGAUGGUCAAGGACUUGGAAGGAACAUGACUGGAAUAUUGGUGAGAAGGAAAUUUGGGGAAGAAGUAUGUGGAUAGAUCUCUCUCAAUGGGCAAAAAACCAUGAAGAUAUUUGUGUCCCAUGUAAAUAUUUACAAAAGGAUAACCUCAGCAGAGGAAGACUGUAAUAAUAAAGUGGAUAGAAUAGCCCAUUCUGUAGCUACCACUCAGCUUCUUUCUCCAGCCAACCCUGUUCAUUGCCCAAUGGGCUCAUGAACAAAGUGGCCAUUGUGGCAAAAAAGGGGGGUUAUGCAUAGGCUCACAACAUAGACUCCUACUCACUAAGACCAACCUGGCUACAGCCACCACUGAGUUCUAAUCUGCAAGAAGCAGAAACCAACACCGAGUCCCUAAUAUGGCACCAAUCCUCAUGGUGGCCGGCCAGCUCCUGGGUGGCAGGUUGAUUAUAUUGGACUGCUUCCAUCAUGGAAGAGACAGCAGUUUGUCCUUACUGAAAUAGGUAUUUACACUGGAUAUACAUUUUUCUUCCUGCACACAAUGCUUCUCCCAAAACUACCAUCCAUGGACUUACGGAAUGCUUUAUCCACCAUCUUGGUAUUCCACACAGCAUUGCUUCUGACUAAGGAACUUACUUCACUGCCAAAGAAGCAUGGCAAUGGGUAUAUGCUCAUGGAAUUCCCUGGUCUUACCAUGUUUCCUGCCAUCCUAUAGCUGCUGGCUUGAUAGAGUGGUGGAAUGGUUUUUUGAAAUCACAGUUGUAAUCCCAGCACUUUGGGAGGCUGAGGUGGGUGGAUCACCUGAGGUCAGGAAUUCGAGACCAACCUGACUAAUAUGGUGAAACCCUGUCUCUACUAAAAAUACAAAAAUUAGCUGGGCGUGUGGCAUGCACCUGUAGUCCCAGCUACUUGGGAGGCUGAGACAGGAGAAUUGCUUGAACCCAGGAGGUGGAGGUUGCAGUGAGUCAAGAUCAUGCCGCUACACUUCAGCCUGGGUGACGGAGCGAAACACUGUUUCAAAGAAAAAAAAGAAAAAAGAGAAAGAAAUCACAGUUGUAACACCAGGUAGGUGACAAUGCUUUCUAGGACUGGUGCAAGGUUCUCCAGAAGGCUGUAUGUGCUCUGAAUCAGCAUUUAAUAUGUGGUGCUCUGUCUCCCAUAGCCAAAAUUCAUUGGUCCAGAA